AACAUCGCGCACCUGCGGGAACCUGCGGAAGGAUCAUUACUGAAUAAAAUCUGGUCUGGUUGUGUUGUCGCUGGCCUCCUGGAGGCAUGUGCACACCCUGCCGCCACCUUAUUCAUCCAUCUAUACUUACCUGUGCAUCUCCUUGUAGGAUCAGGAUUUGUAUCACCAUUUCUUCAAACCUUUCCUUCCCUUCUUCAGGAGGGGGGGUUGAGGGAAGGAGAAAAGUGUUUUUGGAAUUUU
rnacentral:misc_RNA from 1 species